UAAUAACUGUGCAAUGAUAAAAUUGCAUCAUUAACGACAAGAGGUCUACGCAUUUACGAUAAAAGAAAUUUUAUUUACGCAUAAAAAGUUAAUCAAUCCAACAUUUGUGAAGAAAACAUUAAAAAGGUGUUUAGUAUAAGAUUUCCAUAAAAACAUCCACAGAAACCUAAACACGCACAGUACCUUAUCGAGG